UUUUAUUUAUUGGUAUCUGUAUGACUGUAUCAGACAAUAAUACCAAUCCCACAGUAAUUAUACUAGUUGGGAUUGGAAUCUUAACGAAAUGCAUGUUUUAUUUAUUGGUAUGUGGAUGACUGUAUCAGACUAUAAUACCAAUCGCACAGUAAUUAUACUAGUUGGGAUUGGAAUCUUAACGAAAUGCAUGUUUUAUUUAUUUGUAUCUGGAUGACUGUAUCAGAUUAUAAUACCAAUCCCACAGUAAUUAU